GCAAGAGAGGGAGAAGAGAGAGAAAACGCGCGCACAGUGGGCAGCGGCUUUCCGGCGCGAUUCCGGCUUCGUCCGACGUCCAAUCGAGGCGAUUCUGGUGGCGUUAGAAAGCUUGUUCCGAGAGCUUUCUUUUGACACCAAUUUUGAAGCAAAUGGAGGUCGGAUGAGUGAGAUAUGGAGGAGAGAAGUUUCGGGUUUUUCAAGCUUUUUCAUCAGAUCUACGACGAUCUGACCGUUAGAUCGACGAUCCGAGACCACAUAUGGACUGAGGAAGAGGAGAGGAACAUGGUGGUAUGAUCAGAUCCGGCAAAUGUCACCGGCGACCGGCAGCCGGCCACCGUGCACGGUGGUUCCGGCGGUGGCUCCGGUGGGCUAUGGAGAUAAUUCAACUUCCAGAGGCUUCCUCAUAAAUUUUUGAAAUUUUUGAGACACAGAUAAACUUCGGGUGAUCGAGGUCAGCUAUUUUCCUGCAUCCAGCAGCCACAAUAGUCAUUGGUGUACUGCUACAGGAGGAGACAUUUUUUUGAAUAACCUGUCCCUUUUCUCUCAGGUUAUGAAAAGAUUACUUAAUUGUAUUAUUAUUCUCUAAAUUUGUAAUUUAGGACUCCGCAUGUACUAAUAGUAGCAUUAAGCCUGUCAGGGACUGUAUGAAUUCAAGUUUUCGUAUUAAUAAAUGAAAAGAAAAAAAAAAUUUAUGAGUUUUAAAUGGUUAUAAAUGAGGUAACAGGGUUGAGCUGGGCUCCCCAAAUUUUUGUUUCUGAUAAUUUCUGGGCUAAGUUGGCCCGAAAUAUGAGUAUAACAGUUUAAUUUAAAUUAUUUUAUGUGCAUAUUGGGCCUAAAUUGUGGGCCUGGUUA